AGAACUCCCAUCAAAAGUCAGUAUUUCUGUGCAUCCAGUGCUGGCAGGGCCAGCCCUUUAAAACCAGAUAAUCCUCAGCUUCCUGGUACAGUAUUUACGACACCGGUGGGGUGAGUUCGCCCACAUUUCAAGGCAGAAUGUAUUCGUCUCUACUUUUUCCUGGCUUUUAUUUGCCAAAAAAACACAUUAGCAGACCCGUGUUACUAACUGCUUCCUGCUUCUGUUGCUUAGUGUUUUGUAGCUACCACGGCUGGCCAACAAGCCGUAAAUCUUGCCUGGUGUUUUGUAACAAAGGAAAAAAUAGAAUGAUUUGUGUUGACUUUUGGUCAUCAUGUAUCAUUAUUGAUUUGAGGGCGGGCGGUGGAGGAAAGCAUACUGUGUUGUUGCUCGCCAGUUCUCCGGGAAGGCGGUGUUAGCAGGCAGUCAGUAGAGGGCAAUAGAGAAAUGCAGUUUGUGGUACCUAAAGGAUUUGAAGCACGGAUUAUGUGUUUACAGAAAAGAAAAAGAAGAAAAGAAGAGCCAGGAGGAUAGGUUGUUCAGUUUACUACUGGAGACCUGACUGUGACAGACCACCAGCACAAAAUUUUCGAAGAGAGCAAAGGCAACCUUCUGCAGCAUCCACGACUCUUUCCUGUUUUCUUCAGAGUUAUGCAGGAUAACUUAGCCAGAACUUACUGAUGACUGCAUAUUCAGUGGACUCGGGAAUGGACUGGGAGAUGCAGGAAGGCACUCUUUGGGAGGAACAGAAGAAGAGGCAUUUCAAAGAUCCUGCAGGUGAAUGAGGUGAUGAUCUACUGUCAGAAUAAAUAAAUCUUACAAAGUGCUGAGACUGCUCAGCCGUUUGCUGUGGUAUCGCUCCCACGUGAGGAACCUGUAUUAUCAUCUUUCUUCAAGUAUCUUCUCUCCUGUGAUCAAAACUCAGUGGUAGUCAAUGUGAAUGCAAGCUGUUCAUCAGAAGCUUGUUUGACACCCAAAGUUUCACUGGAAGGGAAAGAAUGGAACUAAAUCUACAGGGUUCAUUAUUUUGCAGAGGAUGGGUCUCUCUGCCCUACAGGGAUCUAUCUAUCACUGCAUCUUCUCUACAUGGAAGAAGUAAUUGGAUUGUACUUUCUGCACAUGAUCAGAGCUGUUGGCUGGAGAACUAAGCUGUCUAGAGGGUAGGAAACCAUAUGAUGCCUAAGAAAACUAAAUGUCUGAGUCUAACUGCAAGACCUUUUCUUUCUUUCCAUAGAAGAGCUGGAACAUGCUGAACCGCACCCACCAAACUGCACUAGAACUUUGGGAAGGUCCGUGAAGCCUUCAGGAAGCAGAGAAAAACAUAACCACCCAAAUAAUCCCAGGGGCAUUAAGUGUCUGUGCAUAUAUAACACAAUAAGCCAUACUAUGAAUGUGAACAGCUAGGG